UGUGGGAGCGGGCUUGCCCGCGAUGGCGGCUUGUCAGUCACACAUUUAUUGACUGAAAGUCCGCCAUCGCGGGCAAGCCCGCUCCCACA
rnacentral:misc_RNA from 1 species